rnacentral:rRNA from 1 species
CACGUAGGGCGCGAGCGUUGUCCGGAAUUAUUGGGCGUAAAGAGCUCGUAGGCGGCCUGUUGCGUCCGCUGUGAAAGCCCGGGGCUUAACCCCGGGUCGGCAGUGGAUACGGGCAGGCUAGAGGUAGGUAGGGGAGAAUGGAAUUCCCGGUGUAGCGGUGAAAUGCGCAGAUAUCGGAAGGAACAUCAGUGGCGAAAGCGGCUUCCUGGACCAGUACCGACGUUCAGGCACGAAAGCGUGGGGAGCAAACAGG